CAGUCAUUCAUCCUUAAAAUAUGCUGUCAAAGCCAUUCUUCUACUGUUGGAACUCUGUUCUCAUGUUUCCUUUUGUUCUGUGGGAGUUGCUAAGAUUUCCCAUUGAAAUUUAUUUUAAAUGUUUGUUCUUUUGUGCAGAUUCACUGCACAGUCUUGUCUCCCACAGUGUAGAUGGGUUACAAUGGAGACGAUGGUAACCUGGCAGUGAUACAGGAGCACAUUACUUGCAGCUGCAGUGAGAUUUCACCCAGCAUUCUGUUGCAGAGCACUUCACACUUCCAAAUUAAUCAUGGUUUUCUCUCUGUUC
rnacentral:lncRNA from 1 species